GUCUCAUUAGCUUGGUUGGUAGCGCGGCUGCCUUGUAAGCGAUAUGCCGCGGGUUCGAUUCCCGCCCGAGGCG
rnacentral:tRNA from 1 species